UACGUAGGGGGCUAGCGUUGUCCGGAAUCAUUGGGCGUAAAGCGCGCGUAGGCGGCCAGAUAAGUCCGGUGUGAAAGUCACAGGCUCAACCUGUGAAUGCCGCUGGAAACUGUCUGGCUUGAGUCCGGAAGGGGCGAGUGGAAUUCCUGGUGUAGCGGUGAAAUGCGCAGAUAUCAGGAGGAACACCAAUGGCGAAGGCAGCUCGCUGGAACGGUACUGACGCUGAGGCGCGAAAAGCGUGGGGAGCGAACAGG
rnacentral:rRNA from 1 species